rnacentral:tRNA from 1 species
AGCUGCUUAGUUUAGAUUUAAAAUGGGGGUUUUCAAAACCCCGGAGGAGGUUUUCAGCGGUUGC